rnacentral:tRNA from 1 species
UCUCCUAUAGCUCAGUUGGUAGAGCGUGCGGCUGUUAACCUCAAGGUCGCUGGUUCAAAACCAGCUGGGAGAG